rnacentral:rRNA from 1 species
GACUACUGGGGUAUCUAAUCCUGUUUGCUACCCACGCUUUCGCUCCUCAGCGUCAGUAUCGGCCCAGAGCGGCGCCUUCGCCACCGGUGUUCCUCCUAAUAUCUGCGCAUUUCACCGCUACACUAGGAAUUCCCCGCUCCCCUACCGAACUCUAGUCACAGCAGUAUCGGAUGCAGGCUUUGGGUUAAGCCCAAAGUUUUCACACCCGACUUACCGAACCGCCUACGAGCUCUUUACGCCCAAUAAAUCCGGACAACGCUUGGUGCCUACGUGUCACCGCGGCUGCUGGCACGUAGUUGGCCGCACCUUCUUCUGCAAGUACCGUCAUUUUCGUUCCUGCUGAAAGCGGUUUACAACCCGAGGGCCUUCUUCCCGCACGCGGCGUUGCUGCGUCAGGCUUUCGCCCAUUGCGCAAGAUUCCCCACUGCAGCCCCCCGUAGG